rnacentral:lncRNA from 1 species
GUCAAAUUUGUCUGGUCUUGCAGGAUCUCAACUGCUUUGGUGAUUCUAAUCCACUGCAACUUCAGGGGUAUAGGAAUUGGCGCUUUAAUCUACUCUACUGUGACUUUAGAGAGGUGAGAUUUGUGGUUUCAAUCUACUCUACUGCAACUUCAGGGAGAUAAGGUUUAUGACUUUGACUUGCUCUACUGCUACUUCAGAGAGAUAAGAUUCGUAACUUGUAGCUUUAAUCUGCUCCACCGCAACUUCAGGGAAAUGAGAUUCGCUAUCUUCAGU